rnacentral:lncRNA from 10 species
UUGGAACGGGGAGCAAAGAGAGGAAUCUUCAGACUCUCUCUUUAACUUCAGGAUAGUUAUGAAGACCUUGGCAUUGCUCUGUAGAAUUUUCAGCCUACUUCCUUUGCCAAGCUGCCACACUUCCUUGCGCUGCUCAAGCUAUGUUCCAGCUACCAACAUUUUCCAAACAAGCUGGGCUCCUUCCAGCCCUGUGACUUUGUUGGCUGUUCCUUUUUUGAUCAAAUAUGCCUGUCCCAACUUCUCUGCCUGGCAAGAAAAGCUUCAUUCUCUAAGAUUCAUCACAGAUAAAUUGUAUUGGUGAAACCUGGCCUGCGUCCCCAAGGUGAAUUAGUUCUUCUUUCCUCUUCGCUCCCAUAGCACCCUCAAGUCAGCUUCUAUUAUGCCAUUUAUUAUGCUGUUAUAUAAGUACAUAAUUGUUCAUUUUGGGCUGUGUCCUCCACUAGACUGUGAAUUUAUGAGGAUAAGGACUGUUUGUGUUUCCGAUUACUGGAGGUGUUCAAGUCCAGUGCUGGAACCAAAGGAUGAGACCGACGGUAGUAUAAACUCAGUUUUAGAUGGGUGAUUUGCCAAGAUGACAAGGGAUACUCCAUUUAGUUCUAAGCAAAUAGCAUUUCCUUGCCUAGCUUACCAUUCUCACCGGGGAAGGAGGAGAAGGAAGUUAGAAUGGGGGCUGGGCAGGAAGUGAAGUUUCUGGUAUUGAUGUAUCUCUUCCAACUUUAAUCAGCAACUUUAAUAAACAUAUUAUUUUCUCCUUACUAGUUCCUGAGAUUUCAGGGCUCUAAUAAAUGAAAAGCAGCUCUCCCUACUAUAAAACAUUUGAGGCAACUACUGGACUAAUAAUACCUAAUGUUAUUAAGCAUUUUCUAUGUGCCAAGUAGUCUUCUCAGUGCUUUACAUAUGUUAAUUCAUUUAAUUCCCACAAUAACUCCCAUAAAAUAAGUAUCAUCACUAUCUUUAUGAUAUAGAUGUGAAAAAUGCAAACAUAGUUCAUAAAACUUGCUUAACAAUAUUUUAUGAAUAAGUGGCAGAUCUUAUUCAAAGCCAGGCAAAUGAUCCAGAUCCCUACAACUUUCUGCCAGCCAUAAUCAAAGAUACAUUGUCCUCAGAACUAUUGUCUCCCUCUCACAUUUUUAGCCUCUAAGCAUUUAGUUAUGAGGCUCAAGGUCAGCACUAACUGAUCACAGGUGUUUUUUGAAGUUGUUUCCUUUCAAAUUCCAUGAAACAUAUACCGAGUUCAUGUGGCCUUGUUCCCCUUUGCAUUUGUCAUUCAUCGUACUCCUGUUACCUCUGCUCUUCUUUCCUUCACGCGUGUUUACACACUGCAGAUGAAUGAUCUUGAAACACACAAUCGGAUCAUGUUAAAACAGUUGCUCAAUAUUACCCCCACUGCUUUAAGAAUAAUAUCCAAACAUAAAAUGAAAAGCCUUGCAUGAGGUGGGCCCACUCUUCUAGUGUCAGGUCUGGGCUUGAUAGAAGUAAAAAACAAAACAGGAAAUUAGGCCAUAAGGAUACCCUGAGCACAGCUUCAACAUGUGAGGCUCACCAUAACAUCUAUGUCCUAAAUGACCCUGAGGUCUUCAACUUCACUGGGUUCUCUCAUGCUUUUACACAUUGUUCCUUCCCUGACCAUUUCCCCUUUCUCUAGAGUUUGCCAAAGAGACAGAACCAAUAGAAUAUAUAUAAGUACUGUAUAUAGAAAAGUAUUUAUUAUGAAGAAUUGGCUCACAUGAUUAUGGCAGGCGAGAAUUCCCAAGAUCUGCCAUCUGUAAGCUAGAAAACCAGGAAAGCCAGUAGAGUUGUUCUAGUACAAGACCGAAGGCCUGAGAACCAGGGGAGAUGAUGGUAUCUUAGUCUGCGCCGAAGACCUAAGACUCAGGAAUGCUGAUGUCUGAGGGCAGGAGAAUCUGGAUGUCCCAGCUCAACCAGAGAGAGAAAAUUUGCUCUUUCUCUACCUUUUUGUUCUAUUUGGGCCCUCAACAGACUGGAUGAUGCCCGCUGGUUUUGGUGAUGGCAAUCUUUCUUUUUCAGUCUGCAGAUUCAAAUGCUAAUCUCUUCCAGAAACACCCUCACUGACACACCUAGAAAUAAUGUUUUACCAGCUAUCCAAGUAUCCCUUAUUAGCCCAGUCAAAUUGAUGCAUACAUUUACCUAUCACUUUCCUCUUCUUGACAAAUUCUUAUAUAUCCUAAAGUUUUGACCUAAGCCACAAAAAGCUAGACCCUAAGAGAAUGACUACUUUAGACUUGGCUUAGUGUGUUUCACAGGAUUGGCAGAAAGAGAAGUUGAACUCAAAUGCAAUUGUAAGAAAGCCUCAGCUGAUCCCAGGGUAUACUCGUCUCCUGUGGCUGCUGUAACAAAUCCCUGCAAACUGGGUGACUUCAAACAACACACUUUUUUCUCUCAGAGUUCUAGAGGCCAGAAGCCUGAAAUCAGUAUCACUGAAUCACAAUUAAGGUGUCGCUAGAGCUAUCCUCCCUGUAAAGGAUAAGCCAUUCCUUUCCUCUUCUGGUGGUGGUUGGCAUUCUUUGGCCUGUGGCUGUAUCACUCUGAUCUUUGCCUUCAUCCUCAAAUUACCUUCUCCUUAUGGGACUGCAUUUAGGAACCACACUGAGAAUCCGGGAUCUUCUCCCAAUCUCAAAACCCUUAAUUUAAUCAUAUCUGUGAAGACCCAGUUUCCAUAUAAAAUAACAUUUACAGGUUCCAGGGAUUAGGAAGUAAUAUCUUUAGGGGGUGAUUUUUCAGCUUCCCACAUAUGGGUAGCUCUGGAAGUCAGAUGGCCUGUCAUAAUUACCUCGCAAUUGAGUUUGCCUCUCUCCACUUUUCUCCCAUACAAACUUAUUUUUUUCUGUUUUUAUAUUAUGCAUACCUCUUUUAGUACUCAUUCUCACUGUGUAAUGAUUAAUAUUUACAUGUCUGUUUUCCCUUACUAGAUUGUUAGGUCCUUAAGAGUAGGGUUCCUGAUUUGUUCCUAUUUGCAGCUGCCUCAGUAUCUGGCAGACGGUAAGUGCUCAUAAAUUUUUAAUGAAUGAACUAAUAAAUGUAGCUUAAUGCAGCCACUCUCUGCCUCUUCAUCAAUUGGUGGAGCAGAUGGAACAGCUAACUGUAUGAACGAAAGCCAUCAAGCAUGUCCAGCAAAAGUGACUGAGUGUGUAUCAGGAGGCAGUAAAGUAAACAAUAUCUCAAGGGUCUCACAGCUGUUUCACUGCCUUUCAGCCAAGAAAUGCCAUGAUUUACUUUCUGCUCUUGCCAAGGAUGAAGAAAUAAAGUCAUAAACAAAAAGUGAAGGAGUGAAGAAUUACUCGGCUUGGAUGGACAGGUCAAUCUGCUUGCCCACCUGUGGCCAAGCAAGCGUGAUCAAACAAUAAUAUACUUUCCCCUUCUAUUCACAUCUCAUAGUCUUUAUUCUUUAACAAGAAUGAAGGAAUCUUCAAUGGGAAAUGUAGUUCCACAUCUAACAUCACUGAUAAAGUCAGUUUUAUACACAGUUAAUAUUGAGUGUCCCCAUUAUCGUAGGGACUGUAUAAAAAUCUGCCCCAAAUAUAACCCCUUCUCUUUGCAGGUUGCUACAUUUCAAGAGUGCUCUUGCAUAAUAUCCGCUUCACAGGGACAUGAGAGGGUUUAACAGUUAAGAAUUAAUGAAUAUAGAAACUCCUAGAACAGUACACAUGGCAUAUACCUGAUAAAUGUUUUUGUUCCUUUAUUUUCCUUUAACAGUUUAAGAUCAGUCACAAUUUACAUAUUCAUAUGGAAGAUUUGGUGGAAUGAGGUCAAUAUGGUAGUUAAUAUGUGUCUUAUUUUGGAAGUUUUACAUUUGUUAAAAUAACAUAUGCAUGUAAUAAAAGUUCAGACAGUGUGAAGCAAUAUUAAAUGAAAAGAAAUUUACUUCUGUCUUCUUUCCCUAAACCUUCUCUUAACACAAUUAUUCUAAACAGUAUGCUGCAAUCUACUUUUCCCAAUUUAUCAGUUUUACAUAGUAACUAUAAACUUUGCCUACGAAAGAUGAGGAAUUUGGUUGACUUGUAUUACUACGUCCCUCCUACUUUUGUUGUUUAUAUUGUUACUUAAUUCUAUUGGUUUCAUUUCUUACUCUAAGUAAUAUAUAUGUAAAUCUCCAUUUCUCUUUGUCAUAAUAUAGGUUAUUCUUUGAUAUUUACCAUUUAGAUCAUAAACUUACAAACUUGUAGAGCCUCAGGCCCAGUGGUUCGAUGAUAAACUGACUCGGUGGUGGAGGAAGCAGAGGGCUGAUCUGUAGCAUUUUACUAUUUCUGUGGAUGAUUUUAAGCUACCAGCCUGACUUUGAAUUCCCUUCUAUAAUUAUAAUUACCUUCAAUGCUUUUUCUAUGGUUUAGCUUUUAAAAGAUUAAUAAACUGCAUUUACAAAAUUAUUACUAUGCAAAUGUUAUUCAAUAGAGAACCAAAUAUUGUGAUUCCUAGCAGAGAAAGAAAUGUAUCUUGAUGGGAAAUAAAGUCAAUAAUAAAAUAAGCUCUAACUUUCAAGUUCCAAUUGUAUUUUAGAAAUAAUUAAAUCUAUCAAUCUGAAGAAUAUGCCUCUUCCAAAAUUCAAAAGAUAAUACAAUGAAACAGGAGCAACACUUAGAAAAUAAAC